GGUGGUUCUCGGGUGACACACCCCGGAAUCGGGCUCCCUCCUCUCUGGUUCCAGGUGUGACACCUGAGAGCUGAA
rfam:Myotis lucifugus cont2.22543, whole genome shotgun sequence.